rnacentral:lncRNA from 1 species
GGUCACUAUGAGGCUAAAAGGUGUCAUUCUAGCUUGUUUAGAAAUCAGUCCACCCUGCUGCAUGGGUAGGAUGCUGUUCUGAUACAAAUGCACGUUAACCGCAUGUAAAGGGGCAUCAAGGGUGACAUAUUGUCCCCCUUUUGAUGUAAUGGUUUGAGUCAUAUCAAAUACACUGUACCAACUACCUGGAGGAAAGAGUGCUUUAACCUGUGAUUUCCCUUGCUCAAGCACUGGAGACACCAUGAGACUGCUUCCUAACAAGAACUGAGUGCUUAACCCAUAACACUCUGUGUAAUUUGAGAAUGAGAAGAAGAGCGGCCUGGCAAUUGGUGCCCCACUGGUAUGCGCCUCAUAGUUCAAUGUGUAAAGGUAUGGAAGAAGCUUAUAUCUCAUUCCCAGAGCGUUUCUAGCUGAUUCAGCUACGGACUCCCACUGAUAAAGCUCCUGCCUCGGAGAGUAGUAGUUGGCAUGAUCCCUUGAGAAGGGGUAGAAAGCACCUACUUCAAUCCAGCGAUUGCAAAGCUCUUCUGUAGGUGCAGGAUAGAAUCCGCAUAUAUCUGAACCAACCAUUGGCACACCAAAUAUGCCAAAAUUUAACAUAGUAGAUAUUGAGUACCUCAGAUCCUCCCAAGUUCCUUUAUUAUCUCCAGUCCAAUGAGCAACAUACUUGCCUGAUCCAACAAAUGUAGAGCGUGAUAAAAUAAACGGUCGCUUGCCCUCAAGCCCUUGAAGGGCUUUGUGAGUGGCAAUAGAUUGAGAGAAUCCAUACAGACUAUGCGCAUCAUACUCCAAAACACCAUUAUAGUGGACCGCACUAGUGGCGAUUGUUUUGUACCCUAUCGGCGCCUGUAUCCCUGAAGCAUUUAUCUUGUAAGGUGGAUCAUCCCACCUUGUAGUUGUUAUGUUCUUGCAGUCUAGGCAACAGACCGAACCAGGUCCAGGUCCAGGGCCACUUGGACACUGCCUGCCCUCUGGCAUUGUGCAAAGUCCAGAACAGAAGUUUGAAACUUCAUUCAUGUCAAUCCAUAGGCCGUCAACAGGAACAAGUUCAUGGAAGCGACGGAUUUCAUCACCCCACCAUUCAACAGUUUUUGGAUUGAGGAAGUCCGGAAAAUUGACAGCUCCAGGCCAAACUUGGGCUAAGAAUGGCUUACCAUGAUGCUUGAUAAAUACAUCAUUGGCAAUGCCUCUUUGAUAUACACCAUAAGUAGAAUUAACACCAAUUCCAGGAUCAAUAAUUACAACGUACUUCAUUCCAAUGCUGUGUAUUUUCUCUAGGAAUGCCAGGAGCUUUGGACGAGGGUAGUUGGUGGGGUUGAGAGUAAAAUCCUUAUGGCCAUCCAUAUGAUCAUCAUCAUUCCAGAUCACAUCCAAAGGGAUCUGAGCCUUUUUGUAAUUCUCGACCACGUCUUCAACUACAGACAGGUUAUGGUAGCCCCAUCUGCACUGGUGGAAUCCUGUAAAACCAAAUGAAAAGACCAUUAGAAUGGUUUUUCUCAAUUUAGUACAAUAUGCAGUUUUAAACAUGUCACAAGUUAGAUGCAUAAAGGAUGUUAAACAUAACAUCCCACAACACUUGUUUUCUGAUUGCAAACGUUGCUGGCACUAUUAUUAGUCUAUAGUUAACUUGUUACUUCCACAAAGACGAUUGACUCCAAAAGUAUUAAAAGAGGGACAACCAAGUAUGAUAUGGUCAUAUAUACUUUCUCCACACUGAAAAAUAGAAGAAUUGUAGGCAAUCUCAUAAAAGAAAAAUAGAUCUAUCAGGCCUGGCAAACACACACAUUAUAUCUGUUCUGGGAUGGAUUCGGUAUUUUACAAAGUUACUCACUGAUCCUACACUUUUUUUGUAUAGUGAGCUCCGAUUGGACUCCUCAAACUCGAGGCAUCACAAUCCUGGAAACGAGUUCAGUACCAAUAAGCUAAAGUCCAUUGGUUGAUCAUAAACAUUUUCAAUUAUUCAAGCAAUAAGAAAAUUUUGACAACUCAACAUCUCAGUUCAGUCAUAUAAUUUGUAUCUUCUGUGUAUUCUCCAUGAUGAAAAAAGCAAUUCAAACAGCUCUUCUGAGGUAGGUGAAUCAAAGAUCUUUUAUACUAGGAGCAUAUACUUUAGAAGAUGUCUAAAUUGUGGAAAUAAAUCUAGCAACUUUAACAAAAUGCAAGAACUAAUGAACCAAAUUGUAACAUCACCAUUUUAAAAGAAAUACAACCCAUAGUUACGUGUGACAAACCUCAGGCUUCACAUGUGCCCAUGCCAGCCUACCCACUAACAUUUAUUAAUUAUUUCAAGCAAUGUCCACUCUGCACCGUCACUAAUUUCAGCUGAAAAGAGGGCCAAAGGUUGGAGUGACUAAUAAACCAGAGAAUCACAUAAAAGACGACAAGGCUGUGGCGAACUUGGAUUUAUACAUACGUCCUGUGAUCCAACAUAGGUAUUUGACUUAUGUUUCAUUCAUCCGCCGACAUGACAAUUGCUAUAAAGCGAGGCAACACCACUGAACGAAGCUUUUUUGCCCGUUUGUGUAAAAUAUAGUUACUCUAAUCAAUAAAGAUCAUUACUGGUGAGCAGAUACUAAAUUGAAUCAAGGAAAGGGAGUUUAGAAUGAAUCAUACCAAGAGCCCAGUAAGGCAUUGGAGCUGGUCGACCUACUAACGUUGUGUAUUGGUCGACGACAGCCAAUGGAGAGGGUCCAGCAAAAAAGUAAAAGUCGAGAACACCCCCAAUAAUCUUGUAUGUGAGCGAAGUCCCUCUGUAGAACACAUCCAUGCCAUUACUGUUAAGAAGAAGGACCGAGUGAGCAGAGGGCUGCCCGUUCACAUUUCUAAGAUCCAUGUACACCGGAUGAGACCCAUACAAAUCAGCAUUAAGAUUAAUGGCUGAGAUAUCAGUAGUAUACAGAGUAUAUGGAUCUCCAGGGUACAAUUUGAUUCCAUGAGGCUGCGUGUUCUCUCCCAGACCGUAGAGUGAAGCAUCUUUAGGCAAUUUUGUGGAUAUCUCCAAAUAUUGGUCUUUGAAGACCAUUUCUCCAAAUGGGUCGGAUUCAUCGGAGCUCGUAUUGAAAAGGGUCUGCCCGUUUGACUUUCUCUUCACUGCAAAACUAAAUGGGUCCUCUUCGUAGCUGAAGAUAAGCUCAGAGCCAGAGAAUUCCUGAACUGUUAUUGAAUUCUUACUCGAUCUCAAAAAAAUUGUUCGAUUCAGUGCCGGCGGUUGCUCUCUGGGCAACAGAUCAUAUGGAACUUCCCAUCUUUUCUUCUCUGCAUCAGUGAUGUGAAUCCUUAAACGAUCUUCUGUUUCAUGCCUGCAAAAACAAAUUUCCGGGAAAGGUACGUUGAGAAUCAUGAACAUACAAAAAUUGCAAAUUGAUUAAAAAAACGCAGUUGCAUACUUGACAAAGAGCUGCAAGAGGGGGAUAUCGGGUCCAUAGAUGUCGUUCUUCUGCUUGACUUGGAGGUAGCCCAAAAUGCCUCCAUCAUGAGUCUCUUCAAUAGAGAUGAGACGAUAGCCAUUUCCAAUCCUAGUAGGCGUGGAGGAUGGUCUUACUCCAUUAAAACACAGGAUCAAAACUAGAAAACAUGAAGCAAAAGUAGUAGAAGGCAACAUUUACUUAAUACUACUAGUAACUAUGAGCUGUCAGAAGAUGCCUAGAGGCUUUCCCCUUUGUUUGGAUGCUUGUAAGAAGGGAAACAAAAGAGGAUAAAAUAAACUUGAUUUAUUUUAUUUUGUAAUACUAUAAAAUCAAAAUUUCUCUUGAUUAAAUUAGUAUGCCUUAUAAAUUAAGAAAUAGGGACCUUACAGGAUAAUGAUAUUUAAAUAUUUUAAUAUAACAAACUAUAAUUUCUUUUUUUUUUCUACAUUUUCUUAAUUGGGAAUGAAAUGAUCUAAACGCAAGAACUUAAAAACUAUAAUUUCUUUUUCUUUUUAAGUUUGAUCUUAUCCAUUUAGAUAAGAUAUUUGAUUUGAUGGAAUUUAGAUAAAGGUAUUAUAAAUAUUUAUUUUAAAAAAAUAAUAAAAUAUUUGAGUUAACUGUUAUUAUGAGGACUUUGGUUUAAAUUAGUUACCAUGAGCGAACAAUUCUUGUCCCUAAGAUCAAGGCCCAUCGUUUUUGCCGAUGGACCUGUUCUAACUAAAAGUGAACUCCACAAAGAAGAACAGAGAUAGAAGAUCGUGGGGGAUCCACGCACAGUAAGCAAAAAUAUCAAUGAGGAAAAUAAUCUAAAGGUCCAAGAAAUCUAACGCCAAAUUUAACAGAUCUCAAAUAUGCAUUACUGCAUUUUAAGCUCUACAACAGUGACAAAUGUCCUAAGCAAGCAAUUGAAUCUAAGCUAACUCAUGAACUUGUUUGCAUGGAAAAGGAUGUGCAAAUCCUCAGCUCAUCUCGUUACCAUCAACAACCUUGGUAAGAAACAUGAAAAGAAUCAACCAUCCAAACUGGAUAACAAUAUCUAAAUAAGUAAAAAUCCGAAACAGAAACCUAGCGACCUCAACGACUGAUUUCCAUUUUCCAUGACAUGGAGAAAUCUUUGCCUAUGGGAAUAUCCAAACCAUUCACCUCUACCAUCACACUCUUCUUAGUAUCUCCAACUUCAAUAUCCUCGUGAUAUUUCUGUUCCAAUGAAUUCAACCCUAUAUUUGAAGCCCCAUCUAUGGAAUUUCCAUUAACUUCAAGUGCAGAUGGCUGCCCACUUCCUUCUAAUCCCAAUACAGUUAUCUCCUCAAUAAUCCAACCAUUAUCUAAAGCAAAUUUACCCUCCUGAACUUUUGACCAAACCUUUACAGUUCCCUGACUUACACUUGCAUAGAAAUCAAUAUAUGUUGAAUACCCACUUCCAAGUUUCAUUUCUGGAAGCUCAUCAUUAUCAAGGUAAAGGUUCCCUUUGGCUUCUCCAUUACUAGCCCCUGCAGGGAAGGUCACUAUUAGGCUAAACGGGGUCGUUCUAGCUUGUUUAGAAAUCAGACCACCUUGCUGCAUGGGUAGGAUGCUGUUCUGAUACAAAUGCACGUUAACCACAUGUAAAGGGGCAUCGAGGGUGACAUAUUGUCCCCCUUUUGAUGUAAUGGUUUGAGUCGUAUCAAAUACACUGUACCAACUACCUGGAGGAAAGAGUGCUUUAACCUGUGAUUUCCCUUGCUC